CAGUGCUCAUGCGAAAUACCAAACUCGUCACCUCGAACGAUCCGUACGACUCUCUUCAAUCAAUCUAUAACCACAUCAAUACUGAUCUUGUGUUAAUUGCCUCAUUUAGGCUAAAUUUAUCACUAAUUUAGGAUACCCAAUCCUCCGAGUUUUAUAUUUUAUCAUCAAUUCGCCGAACAAUAUUUACCCAUGCUAUGGGCAAUUUAGAUUAGUCCAAAAUCUUUUUAAAAAAGGCAACUUAUAUAGUUUAUUCCCUGUAAUUUUCAAUUUCCUUAAUCAUGUAUAUAAUUCGAAACUUAAAUAUUAUUGUCCACAAUAUCCCUUUUUUUUGUAUUAAAUUUUCAAUAUCCGAUAAAAUUCCAUACACAGAAAUCGGGGUUUAAAGGAAUCCACCAGAAACUAAAGAAGAAUCAACAGAAUGGAAAAACUAACCAUUUUUUUUUUGCAGAAGGAUAGUUUUCAGUUGAAGCUGCUAUAUAUUUCCAAUCUAGCUUCCUUUAAUCGUAAAUUUUACUGCCAACAAUUUUCUUUCCUCACUUGCUUGUCAAUAACGUUGAUGUCCAAGUAGUUGUUCCAGCAACUACUCCUUUUGUUUCUUUAAGUUUGGAGUUGGCUUUCCCAAUCCCUAAAUCCCGUCAUGUGUUAAUAGGAUGGGCCUUGGCCCAUGCAAUUCUUUUUUUUUUUAUUUAUUUAUUAGGCUAAUGACUUAAAUGUCCUAACUUAAGUAUCAAGUGUUACAUUAAACUACCACUUCUUUUUUCCUUGGUUCACAAAAGAAUUCAGUAUUUGAGUUGCUGAACGAUUGCUUUACACUCAAAAGAUAUAUCAAAUAUGUACGAAUCAAUGUAAUGAUCCUAAGUUGAAAUAGGAGCUAAUGCAAUUCUAACAUAGUUUACUGGUGAAUUUGGUUAUGUUAUUACAUUUAUAGAAAGUCUUUAAUCUGGAUUACUCUAUUUCCAGAUUUGCUAGCUAUAACCGACUUAUAAAUGUAUUGUCCUUUUAUUGCAUUCUAUCAGCACCUUACCAAGGUUGAUUGCAUGAACCAGACUUCGUUUAUGUGCAGAAUAAACCAAGCUUUCGAUAUUUCAGUAGUUAAAGUUCUGAAGAAACCCUUCUGGAGAAGACUAUAUAUAACCAGAUUAACAAAGGAGGCAUUUGCAGUGCGCCAAAAAAGCCAUGAAGAAGACAUAAAAUAUUAUGAGAGGGGAGAAAUAAGAGUUUGAAGUUCUGUAUAGGAGACCUGUACAUCAGUAUCUUCUUAAAUGCAAAUACAUUUUACUGAAUGACAAUGCUAGAAUUGAAUUACCAGAAUCAGAAAACUCAGAAUAGUACAGAUGAAAAUGCUAGAAUUUAAUUGAAUCCUCUGUAUACCAAGUAACCUUGAAGAUAUUAGAUAGCAAAUAUCUUCUUCCCGACAUCAUCAGUGUAGGUCAUUUUCUAAAAAAAAUAUUUAAACGGUACACCAUAUGAAGAAAUAGAUCCUCCUAAAUCACUAGACAAUUAACAUUCAUAACCUCUUUGUUUUAGUACAAGCAAGAAUGUAAUCCACAUCUCUUGCUUUGAUAAUAAUAAAAUAAACCAAAAAAACUAGAAGAUAAAAGCAUUAUGCUCCCUACCGAUUCUUAAUUCCUCGUUGAAACUCUACCUCAUGCAGAGCAGCAAUCUCUCUUCACAACCUUCUUUUUGUUGAAUGCAUGGAAGCAGAAUCAACAUAAUUGCACAUGAUUCGUUUUCACUAUCUAAAGUCUCAAGUGCUUUGGCUAAAAUUCACCAAUAGAUAAUGAUCCUACAGUGCACAAAAUAAAUGAGCAUAAUCUUAUUUAGAAGAUGUAUUGAGACCAAAUUCUACACACUCAUAAGAUAGGACAAGAAACUAAGGAUGAAGAACUCCAACAACAAUAACAACUACGCCUCAAUUACAAGCAAGUUGAAGUUCGCUAUAUCUAUCCUCACUGACCAUAUAAACUCGUCUCAACAGCAAUAGUUCUUUCAUGGAUUCAGCCCUGUUUAAAUUUGUAAAUAUUAGCUACAGAUAUAUGUCGCAACUCUGAUUUCAAUUGGACUGUAAAUACCAACAUAUAAGUUCAUCGUAUUAGGUGCUUCAAUGUCUUCUAUCCAUGCUCCCUUUCAUUUUAAGUGAAAGCAGCACACGCAUAAUCGGACAAAAGUAAAAGAAUGUGUUUAUCAAAAAUAUUACUAGAGAAAGAAAAAAUGAGAAUAUCGAACAGCGAUAGCAAACAUCGAACAAGGAAAAUCUCAUGGUUUCAAAUACAAAAUCAAAACCUAACAAAUAAUCGCCCAAUUUUGUAAACUAGAAAUCACAAAAUGUAUCAUGUAAUACAAACAAAGCAGAAGCAAAAUAAUGGGUUAAUCAGAACUAUUACCAAAUAAAGAAAACAGAGGGGAAAAAGAAAGCAGAAGUGAAAAAAUAAAGCGAAAAUCGAACAGUUAUACAAACAUCGAACAGGAAAAAAUUGAUAGCCUACCUCAGAGAUUGUCGUAUGUUAGCCGAAACUGGUCGUCAUUCACCGGCAGUUGUCGUCCUUUGUCGGAGCUGGCCGACAGAGUUCGUGGAUGGUGAGAUCGAUGUGUUCUAGGUUGAGGCUGAGAGAGAAGAUGUCUAAUUUCAAGUUUUGAGAGUUAGAGAGAGUGAAGGAACAUUUCAU
rnacentral:lncRNA from 1 species